CAGUCGCCGCGGGAAUACGUAGGUAGCAAGCGUUGUCCGGAAUUAUUGGGCGUAAAGGGCUCGCAGGCGGUUUCUUAAGUCUGAUGUGAAAGCCCCCGGCUCAACCGGGGAGGGUCAUUGGAAACUGGGAAACUUGAGUGCAGAAGAGGAGAGUGGAAUUCCACGUGUAGCGGUGAAAUGCGUAGAGAUGUUGAGGAACACCAGUGGCGAAGGCGACUCUCUGGUCUGUAACUGACGCUGAGGAGCGAAAGCGUGGGGAGCGAACAGGAUUAGAUACCCCUGUAGUCCCUGUCUCUUAUAC
rnacentral:rRNA from 1 species